rnacentral:rRNA from 1 species
AGGGAAUCUUCCACAAUGGACGCAAGUCUGAUGGAGCAACGCCGCGUGAGUGAAGAAGGUUUUCGGAUCGUAAAGCUCUGUUGUUGGUGAAGAAGGAUAGAGGUAGUAACUGGCCUUUAUUUGACGGUAAUCAACCAGAAAGUCACGGCUAACUACGUGCCAGCAGCCGCGGUAAUACGUAGGUGGCAAGCGUUGUCCGGAUUUAUUGGGCGUAAAGCGAGCGCAGGCGGAAAAAUAAGUCUAAUGUGAAAGCCCUCGGCUUAACCGAGGAAUUGCAUCGGAAACUGUUUUUCUUGAGUGCAGAAGAGGAGAGUGGAACUCCAUGUGUAGCGGUGGAAUGCGUAGAUAUAUGGAAGAACACCAGUGGCGAAGGCGGCUCUCUGGUCUGCAACUGACGCUGAGGCUCGAAAGCAUGGGUAGCGAACAGGAUUAGAUACCCUGGUAGUCCAUGCCGUAAACGAUGAGUGCUAAGUGUUGGGAGGUUUCCGCCUCUCAGUGCUGCAGCUAACGCAUUAAGCACUCCGCCUGGGGAGUACGACCGCAAGGUUG